rnacentral:rRNA from 1 species
CUAGACCUACGGGAGGCAGCAGUAGGGGAUUUUCGUCAAUGGGCGCAAGCCUGAACGAGCGAUGCCGCGUGAGUGAAGAAGGCCUUCGGGUCGUAAAGCUCUGUUGCGGGGGAAAAAAGGCAGCAUCAGGAAAUGGGUGCUGACUGAUGGUGCCCCGCCAGAAAGUCACGGCUAACUACGUGCCAGCAGCCGCGGUAAUACGUAGGUGGCGAGCGUUAUCCGGAAUGAUUGGGCGUAAAGGGUGCGCAGGCGGCCCUGCAAGUCUGGAGGGAAACGCAGG